UAACGUGAUUUCACUUACCAGCUGAGAGUGAGACUGAUCAUUAUAGCUUAGCUACACAAAAUGUGAGAUGUGAAACAACAAACCAAUGACCAACAAAUUAACCCAAAUACUAUUUUUGUAACUGUCAUCCUGUCAUCAAAGCUAUUAUUUUGUGUUAUAAUUAAUUGUUCUUGACAAUUACACAGUCAAAAGCUUGUGGAGGACUGUGAACUGAAGUUUAAAAAGUGGCAUAUCAGCCGACCUGCAUACAAGUAAUCUAUACACAAUUCAAGCUGAGUGUUGGAGUGAUGCAUCUGUGCUUUAAGUUCUCUAGAAGUCAGUCAUCUUUAAGAUUGGUUCGAAAUUUGAGCUCAGCCCAGCUCCCACACCUGCCUGUACCAGCUCUUCAAGAUACUUUAAAAAAAUGCUUAAGGACGAUUCAACCGCUGGUCACAGAAGAACAGUUGAAACAAACAGAUUCUAUAUUCAAGAAAUUUGGUGAACCUGGGGGCUUGGGAGCAAAGUUACAAGAUUUACUCCUCAACCGAGCUGAGAAAGAAGAAAACUGGCUGGCAGAGUGGUGGCUGAAUACUGCCUACCUGGAGUUCAGAUCUCCAGUAGUUGUGUACUCCAGUCCAGGCCUCGUUAUGCCGCAGCAGGAGUUUGAGUCUGUGGAGGACCAGCUACACUUCGCUGCUCAGCUCAUCCUUGCGGUCCUAGACUUCAAGUCUCUCAUUGACAGAGAACAACUUAAGCCUGAGAUGAUGGGAAAGGACCCGUUAGAUAUGGCACAAUACAAGAAAGUAUUCGGUACAUGCAGGCUACCCAGGAUACCUAGGGAUGAACUUGUCUACCACCCUACAUCGAAACAUAUAAUCGUCAUGCACAGAAACAAUAUAUUUCAACUGAACGUGUUGGCAGAGGACGGGUCUCUGUACAGCGAGUCCCAGCUGUUCUCUGCUCUUGGCCUUAUCACCGACUUGACGGAACAGGAAGUGACUCCAGUCGGAUUGCUUACUUCCGACUCCAGGGACAACUGGAGUAAGUCCUACCAACUUCUCGCCCAAGAUGCAGCAAAUUUGGAAGUGCUGAAAAGUAUCGAGAGCGCUCUGUUUGUGGUGUGUCUGGACCAACCGUCGGGCACUAUGGGAUUGGACGACAGAACUGUCAGUGGGCGACAGACCAUGCACGGAGACGGUGCCAUGUCCAACGGCGGCAACCGUUGGUUCGACAAGACGAUUCAGUUCCUAGUGAGUGAGGAGGGUAGAGUGGGAUUGACGUAUGAGCACAGUCCGGCAGAAGGACAACCGAUCGCAUCUAUUGUGGACCACAUUAUGGGAUACAUAGAUGGAAACAAGUUCGAACAAGUUGUUGGAGACCCAACUCCUGCAGCGAAUUUGUGCAUCCCUCUCAAGUUCAAAAUCAGCAACGAAGUCCAAGAGGCCAUAAAGUCUGCAGCAGCUAAUCUGGAAAAUUUGGUGAACAAUGUGGAAGCCUGUGGCUUUUCAUUUGACAAGUACGGCAAAGAGUUUAUUAAAAGCCAGAAGUUGAGCCCUGACAGCUACAUUCAAAUGGCAAUGCAGUUUGCCUUUUACAGGUUGCACAAAGUACCUGCAGCUCACUACGAGUCAGCAGCCACCCGCAAGUUUCUACAUGGCCGCACUGAAACUAUCAGGUCGUGUUCGGUGGAAAGUGUCGCCUUCGCCAAGACGAUGCUAGACUCUUCUGCUUCCCCUCAUCAGAAAUUGGCAGCCUUGAAAAAGGCCAUUAACGGUCAUAAAGAUUACACACUGCAGAAAUUACAAACUGUGAUGCCAAGUUUGAAGAAAUGAAGAUUAAAGAGCCAAGGUCACGUAAAUGAAAACAUGCUGCAGGCCUUCGAUGACUGACAUGUGAACAGGCCCUGAACGGUCUAGGCGUGGACAGACACCUGCUGGGCCUCAAAUUGACAGCCAUCAGCCACGGCUUGCCGGUUCCUCCACUCUUCUCGGACCCGGGUUACCUCCAGAGUCUCCACAUGCG
rnacentral:misc_RNA from 1 species